CUGAGAGUACUGGGCUCUGCCUAGCUACUUUUACCCAUGUUUUUUACGUACCAAAGUUUCCUCGGCGGCUCUGCCCGCCGGUUGGACUCAAUCAAACUCUUGUAGUUGAAGUCAGCGUCUGAUAAACUUAAUAGUUA
rnacentral:misc_RNA from 1 species